rnacentral:rRNA from 1 species
AGAGUUUGAUCAUGGCUCAGGACGAACGCUGGCGGCGCGCUUAACACAUGCAAGUCGAACGGUCCGACACCUAACACCGAGUACUUUUUAGGUCAAGCGGCAUCAGACAGCGAGUGCGCGAACGAAGGGAGCGCACCACGCUAAUCAAAGUGCCAACCUAACCGAGAGAGUAUUGGGUGUUAGGUGAAGGAUAGUGGCGGACGGGUGAGUAACGCGUGGAUAACCUACCCAUAAGCCGGGGACAACCCUUGGAAACGAGGGCUAAUACCGGAUGAGCUUAAGAGCUCGCAUGAGGACUUAAGGAAAGGUGGCCUCUGACAUAAGCUACCGUUUAUGGAUGGAUCCGCGUCUGAUUAGCUAGUUGGUGGGGUAACGGCCUACCAAGGCGACGAUCAGUAGCCGGCCUGAGAGGGUGACCGGCCACACUGGGACUGAGACACGGCCCAGACUCCUACGGGAGGCAGCAGUGGGGAAUCUUCCGCAAUGGACGCAAGUCUGACGGAGCAACGCCGCGUGAGUGAUGAAGGCCUUCGGGUCGUAAAGCCCUGUCUGGGGGGAAGAUAGUGACGGUACCCCCGGAGGAAGCCCCGGCUAACUACGUGCCAGCAGCCGCGGUAAU